rnacentral:snoRNA from 1 species
AAUUCAUGGUGGGAAAAUUUUUGAAUCAACAUUUUGAAUCAUUUUUAUACCUCAUAAAAACUUUCUCCUCAAUCUGUUUAAAGACCGCAAUCUCUCUUCUUAGCUU